GCUCUUUCAUCCACCCUGUCGGAUUUGCUCCACCUUUGCUGCCAGGUGGCCCAUUGUUGAUGAAGUGAUCACGAAAGUGCACCCGAGGAAAUAUAAAGUAGUGGGGGAUACUGUUCCCUGUGGCUGAGACUGCGCAGGCAAGGGUCACCAGGGUACCCCUUUCCCCAGAUGUCAGUGACCCCACCUGCUUGAACCCACGCCUGGCUACCAAUCGGUCUGGUUUCUGUACCGUUGUCACGCCAGUUUCAUCCAUGUUCCAGAUAUAUAUAUAUAGGCCUCCAUUUCCUCUCUGAGUGCAUCUGACCAGCCGCAGGAGCCCAUCAAGAGACGGAGGAUGCUGGGAGCAGGAGAACAACAGAGGCUGGCUACAGAGAGGAUCAAGACCAUCCUGAAAAACACCAUGACACAGGAUCGCCUCAAUGCUCUGGCUCUGCUAUCCAUGGAGAAGAAACGUGUCAAGGACAUUCAUGAAUUUAAUAAGAAAGUCAUUGAGAGGUUUGCCACACAGAAGGAGAGAAGAGCAAAAUACCUCUACAAAUAAACAAAUAAACAAAUCGUGCACGUUUUCUCACCAGUAUUGCUAAUGCCAUUGUUUUUAAGUUGUACAUAGUCCUCAGUCUCAAAUGCUUAAAUUGAUGAUGGAGGCAUUAAAA